GCCAGGCAUGGUGGCGCAUGCCUGUAGUACCAGCUACUCAGGAGGCCGAGGCAGGAGAAUCACUUGAACCCAGGAAGCAGAGGUUGCAGUGAGCUGAGAUCACGCCACUGCACUCCAGCCUGGGUGACAGAGUGAGAUUCUGUCUCAA
rnacentral:SRP_RNA from 1 species